AACGAGCGGUUCAGUGCGCU
rnacentral:misc_RNA from 1 species